CAUAGCCAGGUAACACAGAGGGUGCGAGCGUUAAUCGGAUUUACUGGGCGUAAAGCGUGCGUAGGCGGCUUUUUAAGUCGGAUGUGAAAUCCCUGAGCUUAACUUAGGAAUUGCAUUCGAUACUGGGAAGCUAGAGUAUGGGAGAGGAUGGUAGAAUUCCAGGUGUAGCGGUGAAAUGCGUAGAGAUCUGGAGGAAUACCGAUGGCGAAGGCAGCCAUCUGGCCUAAUACUGACGCUGAGGUACGAAAGCAUGGGGAGCAAACAGGAUUAGAGACCCCCGUAGUCCCUGUCUCUUAUACAC
rnacentral:rRNA from 1 species